rnacentral:lncRNA from 1 species
GUUUUAAUUUAAUAUGUUCAUACGAGAAACAAGGAACAUUAUUCUCAUACAAAAAAUUAAGAUAAUUCUAAAUACACAUUCAUAAAAAAAUGGAAUUUAUUACAAAGGAUAAUCAUAAGAUAUAUUUGAAUUGUCCUGGACCUCACUUCUGUGAUGGGUAAAUGUUAAUGGAAUCCUUCUCUGAAUACGGGACAAACAUAUUAGUAGUGGUAGACCCC